AGAAACGAGGGGCAAUCGGUUCGACCUAAUUCGAAUGAAGUAGAAGCUGCAAUCUCGUUUGCAAUCGAACCAAGCUUGUCCAGCGGUCUUUCCGGUGAGAAGCGAGUCGCUGUUGUAUUUGGUGAUUGGCCUGAACCAGUUGAUCUUUUGUUAGGUGGGCGUUGAGUCUUCGAUGUUGGCUUGUUUGUCAAUGGACUAGUCGAAGAGCGAUGGGUGGUGGGUGGACGAACCGUAGUCAAGGGCUUAGCUGAAGUAGAUGGGGUCGUUUCAGAUGCCUUUAAACCAUUAAUGGGGAAUGACUUUCACUAACGGGAGAUUUUAGAAUGACCCAUGGAAUAGGGGAAGUAACGUGCGGGGUGACGUGGGGAAUCUUUGGGAGAUUAUUCACAGGACUUGUUGAAAAGUGAAUCGCUGCUGGAGCUACAAUCUUAUUGUUAAUGACAUUUGGAACUUUGUUUGACGAAGAAGAUAUAUCUUCGUGUCGGACAGCGGCUUCAGGAUGAGCCAAGUUUUAUUUGUACUUCGACAUUCCAGAUGUACAGACAAGAGGAUAAUUCCUCCCGUUGAAGAAAUGCGACGAUUCGUGGAACGAGAGUCGAUCGAAUAUCAAAGGAACAUGGAUUGUUCCUCCACACGUAUCUGUUUUCCAAAUUUGGAUUAUUUACUAACCCCUUUUUAUAUUCAAAUGUAGACGAACCAAAAAAAGAGGCUAACGAUAGCCUAUUUUAAUAUCAGUCCAUCGACCAGCCAAAUUAAUAGCCACGAUUCUAUGUCAGAAACUGAGUUCAACAAUUUCGAAUACCAAUAUUUUUGCGCGCGUGUAAUGAUGAAUUUUUUAAUGGUUGAAAAGUUGAAUUUUUCAAUUUUCCCAUUCCGGCUCAACACGAAAUUGGCGUUUUCUAUCCUAUCCUAGUAGGUUUUUCUUUUAGGUUAAAUCUUCUUUUUACCGUUAUGAGUAAAAACUGUACUCAACUCUGAAGCGACGAGUAGGUGGCACUAAACAUUCUUCUGGGGCCAGUUUCAGAAAGGUGAUGCCCUUAUUCAGUACAAACUGCUUUAAAAUAUGCACGAUCUCUUGAUGCUAAUUGAAAUGUCUACAUUCUGGCCACAAAGUCACACCAAGAGACACAAUACUCAGGAGAAUGUGAAUUUUGUUGCGAGUCUAUUUCUCUUAAAUUUUUUUUCUAUGGACAUGGGCGUAGUCAGCGAGAACUCGCCUACAAUACAACCAAUCGUGAUCGCGUAGUGUAUAACAGAAGUUUGGAAAAUGGUUGAUUUAAGUAAACACAGCUACUUUCGUUCCGAUCCGAUCUCCGUUGUUUAUUUAACUUUUUAAUUCGAUUUGAAGGAACUUAUUAUGAAAGAUUCUGACAGGUAAUGUCAGGUCAAUUAACUUAAGAAUCAAAACUCAUUACUAGAUGUCGCCAGUGUCGCCCUUGUUGUUCUUCCAUCGUGAAAAGAGACGAAACAAAUUGUUGCUAAAUUUGAUGCAUACUGUCAGUCAAGUUGACUUAGUUAAUAGCGCUCAGUCAAUUUCCAUCCAUUUAGAUCCUCAUGCUGUCAAAAGCCUAAAACUCAUGUUUGAAGCACACAUUUAAUUAGAAAUGUGUUAUAUUUGGUUUUCCCCAUGUGAUUUUUAUUUCUUGAUUGACAGAAAUGGAACCCAGGAGAACUAGAAGCUCUCUUCUUUUUCCAUCUUUAAAACCUAUUAGAAAUGCGAGGAUGGUCAAGUCUACACAUGUGUCUUCUCAUGAGUUGGCCAUGCUGAAGGCCUCAAAACCAAUGCUACAUUAGAUGAAUUUGUGAGUGAUUGAUUGUGAUGCCACUGAUGGAAUUAUCACCCAUUAUUACAUCAUGUUUGCUGUUCUGUUUACCCUUUUCCCAGUUUAUAUAGGGGAAUCAAAAUGUGCCAUCAGUUAAGUCAAUGGAUGGCGCUUGCUGCCGCUACUGGUCUUAAACGAUGUCUUGAAAUCAGUUUUGAAUAAUAGUUGGAAUCUGGGGAAUCCUCACUCAUUAUCGAAGUAACUUUGCAGUCAACAUAUGUCGGCCAGUUUGUUCAGACACGAUGUCAUUCACGCUUGAAGGUCGCGGGGAAACAUUACGUGUAAAACUGUCAAUGCGGUGGUGUAGAGGUUGGUCGAGAACUGGACGUGU